rnacentral:rRNA from 1 species
CGAAGGACCCGAGCGUUAUCCGGAUUUAUUGGGUUUAAAGGGUGCGUAGGCGGAUUAGUAAGUCAGUGGUGAAAGCCCAUCGCUUAACGGUGGAAUUGCCAUUGAUACUGCUAGUCUUGAGUAUGGUUGAGGUGGGCGGAAUGUGUCAUGUAGCGGUGAAAUGCUUAGAUAUGACACAGAACACCAAUUGCGAAGGCAGCUCGCUAAGCCAUAACUGACGCUGAUGCACGAAAGCGUGGGGAGCAAACAGGAUUAGAUACCCUGGUAGUCCACGCCCUAAACUAUGAUCACUCGUUGUUGGCGAUACACAGUCAGCGACUAAGGGAAACCAUUAAGUGAUCCACCUGGGGAGUACGACCGCAAGGUUG